GCCGCGUUGGCGUAGUGGUAGCGCGUCUCACUUGUACCAUCGGGACAUGAGAAGGUCACUCGUUCAAUCCGGGUACGUGGCA